GACGAACCGUGCGAACGUUGUUCGGAAUCACUGGGCUUAAAGGGCGCGUAGGCGGGCUGCCAAGUCUGGGGUGAAAUCCCACGGCUCAACCGUGGAACUGCCUCGGAUACUGGCGGUCUCGAGGGAGGUAGGGGCAUGCGGAACUAUGGGUGGAGCGGUGAAAUGCGUUGAUAUCCAUAGGAACUCCGGUGGCGAAGGCGGCAUCCUGGACCAACACUGACACUGAGGAGCGAAAGCCAGGGGAGCAAACGGG
rnacentral:rRNA from 1 species